AGCAGAAGAAUCAGUAAGACACACACAGGCCUAGAGCGGGCACAGUCGCUAGGGCUGCGCAGACACCAGCAGAUCGGUGCGCCCCAUCCCGGGGCUAAGCAAAGCCGGCCUGGCACAUCGCACGCCGGGAGAUCCCGGACUGAGCCUCCCUCCAGAACUGGGUAAUCGGCUUAGGGCAGCUUCUAUCUGCAGCGGAAAAAACGCAUCACAAGCAAAUCGAUUAGACUAGCUCUGGAGAAGUGGGAAAAACUAAGAAGAUUACUUACCUUCUGGAUCUUCCAAAGACAUGAACUCAAGUUUUUUCCUUGGACUUGGGUUUUUAAGAGAAUCGUCCCAAACAACAUCAAAUCUACAAAUGUGAUGCAAACUGUAGAUUAGGACUCCUAUUUUCAAUUAUUUUAUUAUAUUUAAAGUUGGUUGGUAACACAAAAUGAGAGACUAAUUUUUGAACAUGAGGGACAUGUUUUUGAAAUGUAAGGAAUAUUUAUAGGCAGCUGUACUGCAAUAUACAGUGAUAUAUGAGCCUGUCUGUAGUCUUCUAAAUGGAACAGGAUUUCCCUCCCUAGUUGCCCAAAUUACACGGAAACUUUACACUGCAUUUCAUAUACAUAAAAUAAUUUUAUAUAGGACAACAAAGUGGUUUGUUAGCUGAAUUACAUUAUAAAGAAGAUAGACGUUAACACCACUAAAAGCAGAAUUCCUAGGUCAGUUUUAACUGUCAAUAGGAAUCAAGAAUGUCUAGCAAUCCCAGACAUUGGCAAAUAUUAUGAGGCAGCCCAUCUAAGACAAACCUUGGCAUGGCUACAACCUGGUGCACCCACAAAAUGGUCCCUACUGUAAGGACAAUGGACUCAACCGUAUCACAUUAGCAAUCUUAUUUUAACUGACAAGUCCAAGGUCCAACUCUCAAAUUUAGUUCCCAAACCAAUACGCUUUACCAUGUCUAUUUGGACCCAAUGUGUAAAACAAUACAAGGUUAGCACUCAUCCCUCACCAUUAACAAUACUCAUGGCCAACUCUGCCUUCAUCCCCGGACAACAGAAACCCUUUUCCACAAAUUGGGCCAGUCAUAAUUUGAUUGGACUCAUAGAUUUUUUUGACCCCCUAAACCAUAAACUAUAUACUUAUGACAAACUCAACCAAAAAUGCAAAUGGAGAACGAAUAAAUGAAUGGAUUACAACCAAAUUAAACAAAAUAACAGAAUUCUGGAAGGAGGUAUCUAACCUAAUAUGUGAGGUAAUGACAACUACAUUAAAUAUUGAAAUGCCUCACUUAUUAUUAGCCCUCCCAAUCCCUAAUCUUACAAAACCUGCCCAGAAGAUAGUUAAUCAAAUUACAACAUCAGAACGCAUAGCAUUAACCUCUAAAUGGAAAUCCUCAAUGACUCCUACCAUAAAAGAGGUUAUAUCUAGGGUGGAAAGUAAUAAAAGGUUUGAGGAAAUGACAGCCAGAAUAACCAAUAUGGCUCAACAAUAUAUAAAGGUGUGGCAAAUUUGGGAAGAGUACACAGCAAGCUCACAGAAUGCAGGGGUUAUACCCUAAACAUCACAGGGUAACCCCACCAGAGCUUGAGCAUGGAGAGGUCAGGCAAUAACCCAUUCUUAUCCUCACCCCUUAAUUGGGCGACAUGCUAGCUCAUGGAGAUCAUUGAUAUGUAACCCACUACUCAUUGAGAAUAUGUAUGCUAAAACAUUGAUUGAACUGCCACAGUUAUACUGUUCCUUAUUGUUUAUUGAUUUUUAUGUUUCUUCUUUUUUUUGUAUAUUCAUGAUAAAACCCAAUAAAAAUAUA